GCCGGAGUGGUGGAAUGGCAGACGCGCCGGACUCAAAAUCCGGUAGGGGCAACCCUGUGCGGGUUCAAGUCCCGCCUCCGGCACCA
rnacentral:tRNA from 1 species